rnacentral:misc_RNA from 1 species
AAGUCGUAACAAGGUUUCCGUAGGUGAACCUGCGGAAGGAUCAUUAAAGAAUAACUUUGGCAUGGUUGUAGCUGGCUCUUAGGAGCAUGUGCACACCUGUCAUCUUUAUCUUUCCACCUGUGCACACUAUGUAGAUCUGGAUAACUCUCGUCCUCCGGGACGGAAACAAGGAUUGCUGCGUCGCAAGACCGGCUCUCUUUGAAUUUCCAGGUCUAUGUUUCUUACAAACCCCAAUUGCAUGAUGAAGAAUGAUGUCAAUGGGCUCUAAGCCUAUAAAACAUAUACAACUUUCAGCAACGGAUCUCUUGGCUCUC